rnacentral:piRNA from 1 species
UCAAAGUGUAUGAUACGAUCAGAACACUUU